UACGGAGGGUGCAAGCGUUAUCCGGAUUCACUGGGUUUAAAGGGUGCGUAGGUGGGCAGGUAAGUCAGCGGUGAAAUCCCCGAGCUUAACUUGGGAACUGCCAUUGAUACUAUCUGUCUUGAAUACCUUGGAGGUGAGCGGAAUAUGUCAUGUAGCGGUGAAAUGCUUAGAUAUGACAUAGAACACCAAUUGCGAAGGCAGCUCACUACACGGUCAUUGACACUGAGGCACGAAAGCGUGAGGAUCAAACAGG
rnacentral:rRNA from 1 species